rnacentral:rRNA from 1 species
GGAAUGCGCAGAUAUCAGGAAGAACACCAAUGGCGAAGGCAGGUCUCUGGGCCAAUACUGACACUGAGGAGCGAAAGCGUGGGGAGCGAACAGGAUUAGAUACCCUGGUAGUCCACACCGUAAACGGUGGGCACUAGUUGUGGGAACCUUCCACGGUUUCUGCGACGCACCUAACGCAUUAAGUGCCCCGCCGGGGGAGUACGAUCGCAAGAUUAAAACUCAAAGGAAUUGACGGGGCCCC